UUCAAGAGAUUUAGAGAAGAAACCAGACUUGGUCCUAGUUUUUCUCAGAGGUUUGGGAAGAGCCACAUUCCUCAAGAUUCAUCAUUGUUUGAUUGGCUCUGUGAACACUGCAGAACAUGGUUUUGAUCAACUUAUCAAACCUCUUUAUUUCUCGUGACUGUAUGGUGGUUACAGAACUAUCACACCUUCCCUAUCUCUCGUGACUAUGGUAGCACAGAGGGACCGCAACCAUUUGUCUUUAUAAUCAGUGUGUUUUUACUUUCAAAUUUAAAUCUGACAUAUCAAACAUGAACCUUAUUAUGAUCUCAAGAUAUUUGUAACCGUACCAUGUGGCUUGAAAUUUUUAGAACAAUACUCAGUACUGUACUCAA